GAAGUUAGGCUGACUGGUCUAUAACUCCCUGGAUCCUCUUUGUUCCCCUUUUUAAAGAUAGGUACUGUGCUUUCCCUUCUCCGUUCCUCUGGGACCUCACCCGUCCUCAUCUAGGGACCAGACAGCCAUAGUAUUGUUUAACCCUAACUGUACCAAGCAUAACCUAAGAGAAAAAGGACUUUGAAACAACAGUCUACAGUGUAGUCUGUCUUACCUAAGGCCCUACUGUGAUGGUCUGUAUCCCUGCAUUCACUCCUUUUACAGGACUACAAUACAUUUUGUACAAAGUAUGCCUUGUGAAGUAUCAUUUGAAAAUUCAUAAUUUGCUGAUCAUUAGAGUACUGGUAAAAUAUGUGUGGCAACAUUGUGUAAAGAUAUAAGAUUCUUCUGUAGGGUAAUACUAAGACAUGUUCCAAGUCUGGGGAGCAGCCAUGAACCAGUUCCUCAGAGACAAAAGGCAAGCUGAUGCCUCAGCCAGGUGUCAACAAAAUCAAAUGGACUAUCACCUGGUUAAGUGGGCACUCUUCAGCAGGAAAGAGGGCAUGGGUGAAAAAUCUACAUCUUGACAAAGAAACAGCUUGGAGUUCCCGUCCACACAGACUUUCUGUCUCCUGAAUCUCAGCUGGAGAUGCUUCUUGAAGAAGAGAAAGAACUAUAAGAAGGCAAAGCAUAAGAAGGGAGAGCAGACACCACAAAUUAUUCCUCUUUCUUGCUACUCACGGCAUCCAUGGCACCUGAAGAACAAAGGAAGCAACCAGGGGGAGGGAUCCUGACUGGAAGAAAUUCAGCUAGUAAGACUGUUGAAACAUGUGGUGAAGGAACUAGAAACAGUAAAGCACAAAAAUGAGCACCAGCAAAACAGCUGCAAAGCUACAGUUAGCCAGCUUGGAAGCAGAAGAAAGAGAAAGAAUGUGAAUUCCAGAAAUGACAGGUGGAAAUGAGACUGAAAGAAGCAACCACUGCACGGGAAGCUGGGAAAGCUGCCCAUAGAAAAGCCAUGGAGACAAGGAAAAGGAGAGGAAAUAUGAGA